rnacentral:rRNA from 1 species
UACAGAGGUCUCAAGCGUUGUUCGGAUUCAUUGGGCGUAAAGGGCGCGUAGGCGGCGCGGUAAGUCAAAGGUGAAAUCCCUCGGCUCAACUGAGGAACUGCCUUUGAAACUGCCGUGCUUGAGUCCGGGAGGGGGUAGCGGAAUUCCCAGUGUAGCGGUGAAAUGCGUAGAUAUUGGGAGGAACACCAGUGGCGAAGGCGGCUACCUGGACCGGUACUGGACGCUGAUGCGCGAAAGCGUGGGGAGCAAACAGG